rnacentral:rRNA from 1 species
UACGAAGGGUGCAAGCGUUAAUCGGAAUUACUGGGCGUAAAGAGCGCGUAGGCGGAGACUUAAGUGGGGCCUGAAAGCCCCCGGCUCAACCGGGGAGGGUGGCUGCAAACUGGGCGUCUUGAGGGCGAUAGAGGAAGGUGGAAUUCCUGGUGUAGCGGUGAAAUGCGUAGAUAUCAGGAGGAACACCCGUGGCGAAGGCGGCCUUCUGGGUCGACACUGACGCUGAGGCGCGAAAGCGUGGGGAGCGAACGGG